rnacentral:miRNA from 1 species
UUUUCCUUUAGAAAAACUUCUUGUUAAUAUAUAUAUAUAUAUAUAUUAACAAGAAGUUUUUCUAAAGGAAA